UACGGGGGGGGCAAGCGUUGUUCGGAAUUACUGGGCGUAAAGGGUUCGUAGGCGGCCAACUAAGUCAGACGUGAAAUCCCUCAGCUUAACUGGGGAACUGCGUCUGAGACUGGAUGGCUUGAGUGCAGGAGAGGAACGCGGAAUUCCAGGUGUAGCGGUGAAAUGCGUAGAUAUCUGGAGGAACACCGGUGGCGAAGGCGGCGUUCUGGACUGUUACUGACACUGAGGAACGAAAGCCAGGGGAGCAAACGGG
rnacentral:rRNA from 1 species